GCCAGGCUGUGACCGAGGGGUGGCUGAGUGGUGGCUAGGCCAGCUGCUGGACAGGGAGAGGUCUGGCCGCAGAGGGAGAAACGAUGGGGGAGCCAGGAAGGCAAAGCAUGGGACGGGAGACAGGGAGCUAAGGGAGCCACACACAUGAUGUCCUGGAGCCCACGGUCUGGGGUCAGAGCUGCGGUGAACACAGAAAGGCACUGUGACAUGUAAAACACGACAGCGUGAUGCUCGGGGCUUGGAUAGGCCCCCAGGCUGACGCCGCCUCCGUGUGAGGAAGUCAGGCAGCUUCCACGUGGGGCUGCCACUAAGGUGCCUGGGGAGGCGCCUGCUCAGAGAGGGCACAGUGCCAGCAGAGGACCCAGUCUGGAUUCAGGGACUGAAGCUGAUCUGUGGGCGGGCUGGCCGCCCCUGCUCUGUGUCCCUCACGGGGAUGUUGGGAGGAUCCUGGGCUGUCAGCACUGGGGUGUGUUUUGUAUGAACCAAAUAUCACUCAAAGCGGGGGUUGUUUAUCCAUGUGCCCUGGAGACCCCCAAGCACUGCUGCCCUUCCAGCUGCAAGAGGAGAAGGGAGCCCCGCCACCACCACUGUGUGCAGCAAAUGCUGUAAUUCUGCCAUCCUUCGUCCUUUGAGGGGGGGCUAUGGGGACCUUAGAGGUCACAUGGAAUCCAACUCCCACAAUUCACAGAUGAAAAAUUGAGAAGGGGGUUCACAAACGCAUGAAGGGUUAAUGGCAGAAAUGGUGGGCUGCUCCUCCUACUGCUGCUAACCAAACACGAGGAUACUGGCGGCGGCGGUGAAAGGACUGAGAGCUCAGCGCUCCCCCAGCUCCCUUGGGC
ensembl:lncRNA